AGUGAACGCUGGCGGUAGGCCUAACACAUGCAAGUCGAGCGGCAGCACAGUAAGAGCUUGCUCUUACGGGUGGCGAGUGGCGGACGGGUGAGGAAUACAUCGGAAUCUACUUUUUCGUGGGGGAUAACGUAGGGAAACUUACGCUAAUACCGCAUACGACCUACGGGUGAAAGCAGGGGAUCUUCGGACCUUGCGCGAUUGGAUGAGCCGAUGUCGGAUUAGCUAGUUGGCGGGGUAAAGGCCCACCAAGGCGACGAUCCGUAGCUGGUCUGAGAGGAUGAUCAGCCACACUGGAACUGAGACACGGUCCAGACUCCUACGGGAGGCAGCAGUGGGGAAUAUUGGACAAAGGGCGCAAGCCUGAUCCAGCCAUACCGCGUGGGUGAAGAAGGCCUUCGGGUUGUAAAGCCCUUUUGUUGGGAAAGAAAAGCAGCAGGUUAAUACCCCGCUGUUCUGACGGUACCCAAAGAAUAAGCACCGGCUAACUUCGUG
rnacentral:rRNA from 1 species